rnacentral:misc_RNA from 1 species
CUUGUCUUUGAUGGGACCAGUUGUUUUUCUCUUUUGUGCACGCACAAUAUACUUGCUGCUAAAAUUCAUGAAAGUUUGUCGGAUUCCGAGCCGUUUGUGGUGCCUGGUUUGCCUGAUCGGGUUGUGUUGACAAAGGGUCAGCUGCCUUCCUAAUGAGUGACUCUAGAGAUAUUCAUAGUUCAAUAAGAGAAAUGGAGCAAGCAGUAUAUGGGGUUGUGGUUAACACUUUUGAGGAAUUGGAAAGGGCGUAUGUGAAUGAAUUUGGAAAGGUUAGAGGUGGUAAAGUUUGGUGUGUUGGACCGGUUUCA